GACGAACGCUGGCGGCGUGCCUAACACAUGCAAGUCGAACGGGAUCCAUGGAGUGCUUGCACUCCGGAAGAUCUAGUGGCGAACGGGUGAGUAACACGUGAGAAACCUGCCCCAGACUUUGGGAUAACCUCGGGAAACCGAAGCUAAUACCGGAUAUUCUCCUUUGGUCGCAUGGCCAGUUGAGGAAAGUUUUUCGGUCUGGGAGGGUCUCGCGGCCUAUCAGCUAGUUGGUGGGGUAACGGCCCACCAAGGCUACGACGGGUAGCUGGUUUGAGAGAACGAUCAGCCACACUGGAACUGAGACACGGUCCAGACUCCUACGGGAGGCAGCAGUGGGGAAUCUUGCGCAAUGGGCGAAAGCCUGACGCAGCGACGCCGCGUGAGUGAUGAAGGCCUCGGGUUGUAAGACUCUGUGGUAGGGGGACGGAAGUAAGGGUUAGGCGUAAUAAUCCAGCUCGAUGACGGUACCCCGUUUACGUCAAGCACCGGCGUAACUCUGUGCCAGCAGCCG
rnacentral:rRNA from 1 species